rnacentral:lncRNA from 1 species
UUGGUGAUAUUUUACAUCUACACAUUUGAAUAUUCAGCAAGAACAUCAAUGUCAAAACAAGGGAGGAUAGUUCAUUAACAUAAAUGAAAUAGACUUACAGAGUAAUUAAUGUGUUUACCUCCCAGCAGGAGGUACAAGAACAAGUAACCAACUAAAGCUAGAAUGUGAGAAAGAAGUUCAAAACAUUUAGCGAAGCAACAACAACUUAGGAUCUCAACAACGAAAUUACUACAUAUGAAAAUACCUAUUAUGAAUGUCCUUGAAAGUCCCCUUAUACAUAUACACCAAUUCAAACCCCAUGAAAUACAAGUAACUAAGCCAUAACUUGUUCUAUGUUUCAAACCAAAGCUAAUUCUAAAACAAAGAACUUAGCAGAUGCACCCAACAAUAAGAUGAUUACAAACCUAGUCAUACUCUAUUCAACCAUAAAUAUACCUCGCCCAAGCUAUCUCCGAACUAAAUAAUACACAUUAUGCAUGAAAUGGAAAGAGACAGAAGUGAGAAUUCAAUAGCAACCAUCAUUCAAUUUGUUCACAUUUCAGAAUCAAGCUUCAAACUACCCUUAAGUGGUGUCCAUGGAAUUGAUAAAUACCUGGAAGUAAAGAUGAAACAAAAGGGUGAGGAUUUCAGCAGUAAGAACAGCAGAAUUGAGUUCAGAUCCAAGGAAAUAGUGCCACAGAUCAGUUCAAAAUCGUGAAAUGCAACCAAGGAUCCAAUUUUGGAUUCACAGUAAAACCAACAAACUCGACAUCCAAGAUAAAUGACUGAAACUCAAACUAUUUCUAAGUCCAAACAGUUACGAAAUUAAUUCAAGGAGAGAAAAAUUUCAGAUUAGCAAAUUCAAACUCAAUGGAACAGUGCUAAAAUUUUCAGCUAUUUUUAGAUUUUUUUUUCUUCAUAUUUUUCUCUUAGUCUCCCUCUUUCAGGUCUAUGUGUUCUCCCUAUUCCUCCCUGUAUUCAAAAAAAUGACCCCCUUUUAAACUUCAAGCCUCUUUCCCUUUAUUUAUUAGUUAAUCCUCUUUUCCAACCUGUGUAUCCCUUUACACUUGUCUUCUUUUUCCUUUUCAUCCUCCCCCCAUGUUAUCUGACUCACAACUUUAUCAAAAAAACAUUAAACAGAGUGUCAUUUCCACUACCAACCCCUUUUCAAUUCUCAAUUAACCCCCACUAACUUAAUGCUUUCUUAAUUUAAACAACUAUUGCAAUUCCAACCCCACCACUACCAAAAGCUUCCUAAGUAGGUGAAAUUCCUUUAAUCUAAACAAUUCCUAGACUACUCCCUAAAGGCUUUCUCUUAGACACUAAACCUUUACUGGAAUUCUUACCAGCAACAACCGAGGAAGCAAUAGCCGUGGCAGCAGCAAUGUGACUCGCAGUUCCAAAUUUACAAACCAGGCGCAGAGCGAGCAUGUUCUGAUGCUCUCUCCCUCAGUUUCAAACAUAUACACCAACCAAGAACUAAUCUUUCACUCAAUAUUAACAAUAUCUUGAGUACCCUCUAAUAUUUAGUUCAAUACACAAGCGAUAUCUCAAAAUACCACUAAUCUUCACUUCACUAUAUACAAGCAAUAUCUCAAAUACCCGAGGAGUAAAUGACAAACAAUAUCAUGAUAUAAUCUAAUUGAAACUAUGACCUCAAUGGAAGCUCAAAUUUUACAAAAUGAAAUCAUAUAAUAUCCUUCUAGCAAUUCCAACAUAGCUUAAACCAAGAAAAAUUGAAAAGAAACAAUAGAUAGGUAUCAUGCUAUUUGUAUCGCAUUCAAAAUUGACAUCAAAAUUAGAAGUGAGAGUGGGGAAAAUUGAACUUGAGAUGGCUUCUUUUAAAUGAGUAAAAUCAGUGACUACAAAGAUAGGUUCAGAGUGAACUGUGCGCAAGACCCGGUGACGAAAACAAAACACGAGCAGCAACUGAAUCGGACCUCGAACCGUACCUUGAAUAAGCGGCUAGGACUUCGACUCGAAAACCAAACGCCUUGCCGGAAAACUCAGACGAUUAACGAAGGUUUCAGCCACGUCCAUGGCCUUUCGUCACUACUGAUUGCCAUUUCCGGCGAGACUUGGUGAACAGAGGAGCUGGUGAGGAUGGUCUCGUCGAAGAAGACGAACUUCAGGGGUCGUCGAGUUUGAGUGUAGAGGGAGCGGCUGGCGACGGGGUCUGGGCUCGUUUGGUCGCCGAUCUGAUGAGAGGCGGAAUCAAAGAGUGGUCUGGUUCAUCAGUUUUUGAAGAGAUCAGGCGUCAAUGGAGGGACAGUUGUUUGGGGAUGGGGUGGUUCGAAGAAGAUGAUAUGAGGGGGUGGGGCGAUAGGUCUAUUGCGGC